ACCCUGAUGCAGCCAUGCCGCGUGUGUGAAGAAGGCCUUCGGGUUGUAAAGCACUUUCAGUUGUGAGGAAAAGUUAGUAGUUAAUACCUGCUAGCCGUGACGUUAACAACAGAAGAAGCACCGGCUAACUCCGUGCCAGCAGCCGCGGUAAUACGGAGGGUGCGAGCGUUAAUCGGAAUUACUGGGCGUAAAGCGCACGCAGGCGGUUUGUUAAGCUAGAUGUGAAAGCCCCGGGCUCAACCUGGGAUGGUCAUUUAGAACUGGCAGACUAGAGUCUUGGAGAGGGGAGUGGAAUUCCAGGUGUAGCGGUGAAAUGCGUAGAUAUCUGGAGGAACAUCAGUGGCGAAGGCGACUCCCUGGCCAAAGACUGACGCUCAUGUGCGAAAGUGUGGGUAGCGAACAGGAUUAGAUACCCUGGUAGUCCACACCGUAAACGCUGUCUACUAGCUGUUUGUGGCUUUAAGCCGUGAGUAGCGAAGCUAACGCGCUAAGUAGACCGCCUGGGGAGUACGGCCGCAAGGUUAAAACUCAAAUGAAUUGACGGGGGCCCGCACAAGCGGUGGAGCAUGUGGUUUAAUUCGAUGCAACGCGAAGAACCUUACCUACACUUGACAUGCAGAGAACUUUCUAGAGAUGGAUUGGUGCCUUCGGGAACUCUGACACAGGUGCUGCAUGGCUGUCGUCAGCUCGUGUCGUGAGAUGUUGGGUUAAGUCCCGCAACGAGCGCAACCCUUGUCCUUAGUU
rnacentral:rRNA from 1 species